GGGCUCGUGGCAGUAAUUGGUAACUGCACCUGGCUAGUCACCCGGGAAUUGCCGGUUCAAAUCCGGUCGAGUCCACCA
rnacentral:tRNA from 5 species